rnacentral:rRNA from 1 species
CACUAAGGCACGAAAGCGUGGGGAGCAAACGGGAUUAGAUACCCCGGUAGUCCACGCCGUAAACGAUGGAUGCUAGCUGUUAGAAGUAUCGACCCUUCUAGUAGCGAAGCUAACGCGUUAAGCAUCCCGCCUGUGGAGUACGGUCGCAAGACUAAAACAUAAAGGAAUUGACGGGGACCCGCACAAGCGGUGGAGCGUGCUCUUUAAUUCGAUGGUAAGCGAAGAACCUUACCAGGGUUUGACAUCCUUGGAAUUUUGCCGAAAGGCGAGAGUACUUUAUUGGACCAAGUGACAGGUGUUGCAUGGCCGUCGUCAGCUCGUGUCGUGAGAUGUUUGGUUAAGUCCAUCAACGAGCGCAACCCUUGUAUUCAGUUGGAUUUUUCUGAAUAAACUGCCCCGGUAACGGGGAGGAAGGAGGGGAUGAUGUCAGGUCAGUAUUACCCUUACACCCUGGGCUAGAAGCACGCUACAAUGGCCGGUACAAAGGGCAGCCAAGUCGCGAGACGGAGCAAAUCCCAUCAAAGCCGGUCCCAGUUCGGAUAGCAGGCUGAAACUCGCCUGCUU